rnacentral:rRNA from 1 species
UACAGAGGUCCCAAGCGUUGUUCGGAUUCAUUGGGCGUAAAGGGUGCGUAGGCGGCGCGGUAAGUCGGGUGUGAAAUCUUGGAGCUUAACUCCGAAACUGCAUUCGAUACUGCCGUGCUUGAGGACUGGAGAGGAGACUGGAAUUUACGGUGUAGCGGUGAAAUGCGUAGAUAUCGUAAGGAAGACCAGUGGCGAAGGCGGGUCUCUGGACAGUUCCUGACGCUGAAGCACGAAGGCCAGGGGAGCAAACGGG